rnacentral:lncRNA from 10 species
GAGAGGGAGUCUCCUUUCCUUGGAGGAGUCAGGGAAAACUCUGCUCCAGCAGCUUCUGGUGGGAGGCUGGAUAUUAUCCAGGCCUGCGCGCAGUCAUCCGGAGGCCUAAACCCCUCCCUGUGGUGCUGUGCUUCAAUGGUCACUCUCCUUGUCCACUUUCAUGUUCCUCCCAUACUCCUGGUUCCUCUUUGAAGUUCGUAGUAGAUAGCGGUAGCAGAAAUGGUGACAGUCUUAAAGUCUUUGAUCUUUCUUAUAAGUGCAUAGAAGAAAACACUGACCUAUGCUGCCUUCUCUCUGUGUGCUUUGGCUACCUAAGAAGGAAGGGCCACCUGUCCUGUGAUCAUGUGACUUGCUUCACCUUGUCAAUCACUUAGAAGAUUCACCCUCCUUACCCUGCCCCCUUGUCUUAUAUGCAAUAAAUAUCAGUGUGUCCAGCCGUUCAGGGCCACUACCAGUCUAUGCGUCUUAAUGGUAGUGGUCCCCGGGUCCAGCUCUUUUCUCUUAAUCGUUUUGUCUUGUGUCUUUAUUUAUUACAAUCUCUCAUCUCUGCACACCAGGAGAACACCCGCCAAGCUCCGUAGGGCUGGACCCUAUAUUUCUGUAAUAUGGAAAUAUUAAUAGUGGCAAGCCCACAUAGCUGCCACGAGGACUUCAUACAAUAAUGAAGGGAAUCUCAUCAAACAACCAGGGAGGAUCAACCACCAGAGAAAAGAAGAGACUGGGAGUCAUCACCAUGUCCCCAACAGAAUUUUCAUCUAUCCUUCUGAGGACAGCUCCAAGUGAUUACCUAGAGGACUUUGCUUCAUAAUAAGUCAACCUUCAUUCCUGUGCAGCCCCACCUCUCACCUUCCCAAAAUGUCUGCCUCCCAUCUUCUGGGUCCAUUCAUUCUCUCAAAUGAUUUGCUGCCCCUCAAAAGAAUUUUCCACGUUCCUCAUCUCUCCCCUCCCCUGGGAAAAAGCAUAUAUAAGCUUCUAUACCACCCUGGGUUAUUGGGUAAUCAUUCUCCAGCAAUUCUCCCAUCCUGUGCACAUCAAAUAAAUUCUGUAUGCGUUUUCUUUUAUUAAUGUGCUUUUUGUCUGUUGAUUUUCAGUGAGUCUUUAGAGGGCAAAGGGGAAAUUUUCUCCCUGCAAGAGUCUUAUUAUCCGAGUGUCUCUGCAAGCAGCACGUGGG